UAGGAAGGGGGCUAGCGUUGCUCGGAAUCACUGGGCGUAAAGCGCACGUAGGCGGAUUCCUAAGUCGGGGGUGAAAUCCUGGAGCUCAACUCCAGAACUGCCUUCGAUACUGGGAAUCUUGAGUCCGGAAGAGGUGAGUGGAACUGCGAGUGUAGAGGUGAAAUUCGUAGAUAUUGGGAAGAACACCGGUGGCGAAGGCGGCGACCUGGUCCUUGACUGACGCUGAGGCGCGAAAGCGUGGGGAGCAAACAGG
rnacentral:rRNA from 1 species